rnacentral:lncRNA from 1 species
AGGGCUUCUUACACACCUGCUGCCAAAAGGAGGGACAUGAAGAGUAGCCAGGCUGCCAGACCUCAAGGUGUUUCUGAGUUUAUGACAGGAUGACCAGACACCUGAUGAGAAGGAUGCCAAGCUCCUGACAGGAGAAGAAGCAAAGGAUGAAUGCCAGAGGGGCCAUCAUGGGUUCGACCAUCCUUCUAAUAGCGUUGCAUUGGGGACCAAGUCUCUAGUAUCUGUGAGAUAAAUCAUACCCCAGACAUGGCAGAAGAACUACAAAUGAAAGGAGUUACAAGAAGUCUGCAGAGCUUUGGAGCUCGGUACCAGUGGAGGUAUGAAGAGGAAAGCCAGCUCCCAUGAUGGUUGCCAGCCUGCAUACAGAGACUACCCUAUCUCUGCUCCCGCUGCUUCCUCUCCCCAUGCCCCUGCAGAGGGACUAUCCCCUCCUGAGGCUUGUUGGAGAUCUGGUUCUGUGUCUUGCAAUUGCUCUUAAGAGUGUUAGGGUGUGGAUUGGAGAGAUGGCUUAGCAGUUAAGAGUGCUUGCUUCUUUCCCAGAGGAUUCAGGUUUGGAUCCUAGAGCUCACACCAGGCAGCUCUCAACCACCUGCAGCCCUGUAAAACCGUGGGAACUAAUGCUGGCUUCUGGCUUCCAGGGGCACCUGCACACACGUGGUAGCUACACAGACACAUAAAUAACUCCCUGUCUUAAGUAAAGAGGUGUGUGUGUGUGUGUGUGUGUGUGUGUGUGUGUGUGUGUAUUUUGGGGGUUGGUGAUAACCACCUUCGGUGACCCGGCCUGGGGCUUUGAAGUCCUCUUUCUAAAUGGGAGCUCCAGGCACAAGCAGCCUAGAGUUAUUAGGCACAGGUUUAUCUGGGGCUAAUUUAACUUGUUAAGAUAAUUGUGCCAGAGGCUGCAGCUCUGAGGUCUUCACCUUUAUAAUUACCCUUUUCUGGGUCUCUUUCAUCUCUAAAGACUAUGCCCCUCUAUGGAGCUUGCUGUCUCUCACCCCUCCUUCCAGAGCUUGGGGGCAGGUCCUACCGAUGCUUUCACAAGGGCUUGUGUGUUUGUGUAAAAUGUGUAGAAGGGUUAUUCCAGGUGCAGUCAUUCGAAGCCACUGACUCUUUCUCACUUCAACUUCCCCUCUGCCACAUUUUUCCUGCUGUCAAUUGGAAGUGGAACUGGGAACAUUUGGGGGAUCUAACUCCCCAAAACUUGAUCCAGAACUGCGCAGAAUAUGAGGAGUAGGAUGACUUCAAGCUGUAUGCUAUGCAUGCACAUAUGGUUCCAUGGGUGAGCUCAGUCGCGUCUGAGCAUGUUAGUUAAAGUUACUCCAGAGGAAUGGUUUCCUGGAAAACUCCCGCCUCCCGUGGUGAUGUGGUGAAAGCCAGUAAGAGAGGCCUGUGGGGAGUGACAGAGAAACCAGGUUUAAAGUGCAGAGCCAGGAGCUAGUCUGAGGAAAGUUCCUUCAGUUGAACAGUUCUUUUAUAAAAUUUGAUAGAGUUUACUACCAAAUUUGCGUGAUAUUUGCGUAAUAUCAGGAUAAUUUUGUGCGUCAGCUCAGAUACUUUGGGGUCUGUCAUGAAGGAGCUGCCAGGAGUGAUUAGCACUUGCCUUGGUAGGCUAAGAAGAUGGCCCUCAUUCAGGCAGAGGUUCAUUCUGCUAAGUGCCUGAACUGAAGUGCAAAGACAGGGGGACCUAGUACUCAAGUCCUUGGAUCCGGACUGAAUGGUGUCACCAGCUCUUCUGACUUUCCAGUGUGAACCUGGAAGUUGGAGAGACUUCUGAGCCUCCAUAUUUCUAAGAGCCAGUUUUCCUCUGUCCCUCCUUCACUGUGACAAACUCCUCCCUGAAUAAAAUGGAGAAAGCCGGCCAA